GACCGUGCAAAGGUAGCAUAAUCAUUUGCCUUAUAAUUGAAGGCUAGUAUGAAUGGUUUGACGAGAAUUAAGCUGUCUCUUUUCAAUUAAAUAUAAUUUUAUAUACAGGUGAAGAAGCCUGUAUUUCAUUGAAAGACAAGAAGACCCUAUCGAGCUUUAAGAAAUUUAUAGGACCUGCUUAAUAUUGUAUAGAUAACCAGGACCAGUAAAAACUUUGGUUGGGGCGACUGAGGAACAAAUAAAGCUUCCUUUAAAUUAUAAAAACUUACUAGUAUUGAUCCAGUAUAUUUGAUUAAAGGAAUUAGUUACCGUAGGGAUAACAGCAUAAUCCUCUUUGAGAGUUCUUAUCGAAAAGGGGGUUUGUGACCUCGAUGUUGGACCAGAAUACCCAGAAGAUGCAGCUGUCUUCAAUGGUUGGUCUGUUCGACCAUUAAAAUUCUACGUGAUCUGAGUUCAGACCGGCGUGAGCCAGGUCAGUUUCUAUCUUCAAUUAACAAAAUGGCCUUAGUACGAAAGGACCAGGCUAUUGCAAGUUUUGUAGUAAUCUGAUUUAAUAUAAAGAAAAAUUAAAUUAAUAAAGAUCAUCAAAUUAGCAAAGAUUAAUGCAAUUGACUUAGGAUCAAUAGACAUAGGUGGAAUUCCUUUAUUUGAUAUAUAAAGAUGGCAGAAAAA
rnacentral:rRNA from 1 species